rnacentral:rRNA from 1 species
GACGAACGCUGGCGGCGUGCUUAACACAUGCAAGUCGAACGGAAAGGCCCCUUUGGGGGUCCUCGUGUGGCGAACGGGUGAGUAACACGUGAGUAACCUGCCCUUGACUUCGGGAUAACUUCAGGAAACUGGGGCUAAUACCGGAUAGGAAUCCUUGCUGCAUGGUGGGGGUUGGAAAGCUUCGGCGGUUUUGGAUGGACUCGCGGCUUAUCAGCUUGUUGGUGGGGUAGUGGCUUACCAAGGCUUUGACGGGUAGCCGGCCUGAGAGGGCGACCGGCCACAUUGGGACUGAGAUACGGCCCAGACUCCUACGGGAGGCAGCAGUGGGGAAUAUUGCACAAUGGGCGGAAGCCUGAUGCAGCAACGCCGCGUGCGGGAUGACGGCCUUCGGGUUGUAAACCGCUUUCAGCAGGGGCGAAGCUUGUGGUGACGGUACCUGCAGAAGAAGCACCGGCUAACUACGUG